AUUCAGCUGAUGAGUCCCAAAUGGGACGAAACUCCCGUCCUAGAU
rnacentral:hammerhead_ribozyme from 1 species